UGGGGGAUAUUGCACAAUGGGCGAAAGCCUGAUGCAGCGACGCCGCGUGGGGGAUGAAGGCUUUCGGGUUGUAAACCUCUUUCGCUAUCGAACAAGGCCCGCUUAGGGUGGGUUGAGGGUAGGUGGAGAAGAAGCGCCGGCUAACUACGUUCCAGCAGCCGCGGUAAUACGUAGGGCGCGAGCGUUGUCCGGAAUUAUUGGGCGUAAAGGGCUUGUAGGCGGCUUGUUGCGCCUGCUGUGAAAACGCGGGGCUUAACUUCGCGCGUGCAGUGGGUACGGGCAGGCUUGAGUGUGGUAGGGGUGACUGGAAUUCCAGGUGUAGCGGUGGAAUGCGCAGAUAUCUGGAGGAACACCGAUGGCGAAGGCAGGGCACUGGGCCAUUACUGACGCUGAGGAGCGAAAGCAUGGGUAGCGAACAGG
rnacentral:rRNA from 1 species